rnacentral:lncRNA from 1 species
GGCCUGGAAAUGGCCCGACAGUCAUGAGUUGGGCCUAAAUGGGCCACUGUGAGGGAAGAGCUGUGCCUGUUGAGGCUGCUGGCAGGCAGGCAGAAACUUGGCCUGGGGCAGCCGCCAUGAGGCAAGAGCUGGGCCUGGAGAAGCCCCUGGGAGGCAAGAGCAGGGCCUGCAGAGGCUGUUCUCAAGUCAAAGCUGGGCCUGUUCAUGCCACCAGGAAGAAGGCAGGCCUGGAGAGUUUGACUUGAGGAAGUUUUGGGCCUACAUUGGUCGCUGUGAGCUGGACAGGAACUGGGCCAAAAAAGGCUGUUGUGAGGCAGCAGUUGUGCCUGUAGACUCAGCCCAGAGGAAGAGCUGGGCCUGGAGAAGCCCCCAUGAGGCAGAGGUUGGGCCUGUAGACGCUGACUUGAGGAAGUUUUGGGCCUGGAGAUGACGUCCUGGGACAGGAGCUGGGCCUGGAGAGGCCACCGUGAGGCAAGAGCUGGAUGUAGACAGGCCAGUGUGAGGCAAGA